GAUGAACGCUGGCGGCGUGCCUAAUACAUGCAAGUCGAGCGAACGGACGAGAAGCUUGCUUUUCUGAUGUUAGCGGCGGACGGGUGAGUAACACGUGGAUAACCUACCUAUAAGACUGGGAUAACUUCGGGAAACCGGAGCUAAUACCGGAUAAUAUUUUGAACCGCAUGGUUCAAAAGUGAAAGACGGUCUUGCUGUCACUUAUAGAUGGAUCCGCGCUGCAUUAGCUAGUUGGUAAGGUAACGGCUUACCAAGGCAACGAUGCAUAGCCGACCUGAGAGGGUGAUCGGCCACACUGGAACUGAGACACGGUCCAGACUCCUACGGGAGGCAGCAGUAGGGAAUCUUCCGCAAUGGGCGAAAGCCUGACGGGGCAACGCCGCGUGAGUGAUGAAGGUCUUCGGAUCGUAAAACUCUGUUAUUAGGGAAGAACAGAUGUGUAAGUAACUGUGCACAUCUUGACGGUACCUAAUCAGAAAGCCACGGCUAACUACGUG
rnacentral:rRNA from 1 species